rnacentral:rRNA from 1 species
CCCUUAGAUAUUCUGGGCCGCACGCGCGCUACACUGACGAAGUCAGCGAGCAUGUCCUACGCCGACAGGUGCGGGGAAUCUUGUCAAACUUCGUCGUGAUGGGGAUUGAUUAUUGAAAUUCUUGAUCAUCAACGAGGAAUUCCUAGUAAGCGCAAGUCAGCAGCUUGCGUUGAUUACGUCCCUGCCCUUUGUACACACCGCCCGUCGCUACUACCGAUUGAAUGGUUUAGUGAGAUCUUCGGAUUGGCGCCACUGCGGCUCAGCAAUGGGCUCGGUGGAUGCCGAAAAGUUGAUCAAACUUGAUCAUUUAGAGGAAGUAAAAGUCGUAACA